rnacentral:rRNA from 1 species
AUUGAACGCUGGCGGCAUGCUUUACACAUGCAAGUCGGACGGCAGCACAGAGAAGCUUGCUUCUUGGGUGGCGAGUGGCGAACGGGUGAGUAACAUAUCGGAACGUACCGAGUAAUGGGGGAUAACUAAUCGAAAGAUUAGCUAAUACCGCAUAUUCUCUGAGGAGGAAAGCAGGGGACCUUUUGGCCUUGCGUUAUUUGAGCAGCCAAUAUCUGAUUAGCUAGUUGGUGGGGUAAAGGCCCACCAAGGCGACGAUCAGUAGCGGGUCUGAGAGGAUGAUCCGCCACACUGGGACUGAGACACGGCCCAGACUCCUACGGGAGGCAGCAGUGGGGAAUUUUGGACAAUGGGGGCAACCCUGAUCCAGCCAUGCCGCGUGUCUGAAGAAGGCCUUCGGGUUGUAAAGGACUUUUGUUAGGGAAGAAAAGGGAAGUGCUAAUACCACUUUUUGCUGACGGUACCUAAAGAAUAAGCACCGGCUAACUACGUGCCAGCAGCCGCGGUAAUACGUAGGGUGCGAGCGUUAAUCGGAAUUACUGGGCGUAAAGCGAGCGCAGACGGUUACUUAAGCAGGAUGUGAAAUCCCCGGGCUCAACCUGGGAACUGCGUUCUGAACUGGGUAGCUAGAGUAUGUCAGAGGGGGGUAGAAUUCCACGUGUAGCAGUGAAAUGCGUAGAGAUGUGGAGGAAUACCGAUGGCGAAGGCAGCCCCCUGGGAUAAUACUGACGUUCAUGCUCGAAAGCGUGGGUAGCAAACAGG